rnacentral:rRNA from 1 species
GACGAACGCUGGCGGCGUGCUUAACACAUGCAAGUCGAACGGAAAGGCCUUUUCGGCGGUACUCGAGUGGCGAACGGGUGAGUAACACGUGGGUGAUCUGCCCUGCACUCUGGGAUAAGCCUGGGAAACUGGGUCUAAUACCGGAUAGGACCGCACUUUAGUGUGUGUGGUGGAAAGUUUUUUCGGUGUAGGAUGAGCCCGCGGCCUAUCAGCUUGUUGGUGGGGUAAUGGCCUACCAAGGCGGCGACGGGUAGCCGGACUGAGAGGUUGGUCGGCCACAUUGGGACUGAGAUACGGCCCAGACUCCUACGGGAGGCAGCAGUGGGGAAUAUUGCACAAUGGGCGCAAGCCGGAUGCAGCGACGCCGCGUGGGGGAUGACGGCCUUCGGGUUGGAAACUCCUUUCGCCAGGGACGAAGCGUUUUGUGACGGUACCUGGAGAAGAAGCACCGGCUAACUACAUG